GACGAACGCUGGCGGCGUGCUUAACACAUGCAAGUCGAACGGAAAGGCCCCUUUCGGGGGGUACUCGAGUGGCGAACGGGUGAGUAACACGUGAGUAACCUGCCCUUGACUUUGGGAUAACUUCAGGAAACUGGGGCUAAUACCGGAUAGGAGCUCCUGCUGCAUGGUGGGGGUUGGAAAGUUUCGGCGGUUGGGGAUGGACUCGCGGCUUAUCAGCUUGUUGGUGGGGUAGUGGCUUACCAAGGCUUUGACGGGUAGCCGGCCUGAGAGGGUGACCGGCCACAUUGGGACUGAGAGACGGCCCAGACGCCGACGGGAGGCAGCAGUGGGGAAUAUUGCACAAUGGGUGGAAGCCUGAUGCAGCAACGCCGUGUGCGGGAUGACGGCCUUCGGGUUGUAAACCGCUUUCGCUCAUGACGAAGCUUUGUGUGACGGUAGUGGGUAAAGAAGCACCGGCUAACUACGUG
rnacentral:rRNA from 1 species